AUUGAACGCUGGCGGCAUGCCUUACACAUGCAAGUCGAACGGCAGCACGGGAGCAAUCCUGGUGGCGAGUGGCGAACGGGUGAGUAAAGUAUCGGAACGUGCCCAGUCGUGGGGGAUAACGUAGCGAAAGUUACGCUAAUACCGCAUACGAUCUAUGGAUGAAAGCGGGGGAUCGCAAGACCUCGCGCGAUUGGAGCGGCCGAUAUCAGAUUAGGUAGUUGGUGGGGUAAAGGCUCACCAAGCCGACGAUCUGUAGCUGGUCUGAGAGGACGACCGGCCACACUGGGACAGAGACACGGCCCAGACUCCUAAGGGAGGCAGCAGUGGGGAAUUUUGGACAAUGGGCGAAAGCCUGAUCCAGCCAGGCCGCGUGCAGGAUGAAGGCCUUCGGGUUGUAAACUGCUUUUGUACGGAACGAAAAGGUUUGGCCUAAUAAGCUGAGCUCAUGACGGUACCGUAAGAAUAAGCACCGGCUAACUACGUGCCAGCAGCCGCCGUAA
rnacentral:rRNA from 1 species